rnacentral:rRNA from 1 species
AGAGCGAACGCUGGCGGCAGGCCUAACACAUGCAAGUCGAGCGGCCGUAGCAAUACGGCAGCGGCAGACGGGAGAGUAACACGUGGGAACGUACCCUUUGGUUCGGAACAACACAGGGAAACUUGUGCUAAUACCGGAUAAGCCCUUACGGGGAAAGAUUUAUCGCCAAGGGAUCGGCCCGCGUCUGAUUAGCUAGUUGGUGGGGUAACGGCCCACCAAGGCGACGAUCAGUAGCUGGUCUGAGAGGAUGAUCAGCCUCACUGGGACUGAGACACGGCCCAGACUCCUACGGGAGGCAGCAGUGGGGAAUAUUGGACAAUGGGCGCAAGCCUGAUCCAGCCAUGCCGCGUGGAUGAUGAAGGCCCUAGGGUUGUAAAGUCCUUUCGGCGGGGAAGAUAAUGACGGUACCCGCAGAAGAAGCCCGGCUAACUUCGCGCCAGCAGCCGC